rnacentral:rRNA from 1 species
CCUGGCGGCCUUAGCGCGGUGGUCCCACCUGACCCCAUGCCGAACUCAGAAGUGAAACGCCGUAGCGCCGAUGGUAGUGUGGGGUCUCCCCAUGCGAGAGUAGGGAACUGCCCCAGGC